UUCGCUCACGUAAAAAACCACACUCCUCAAACACCACGAUGCCUUCCUCUAUAGUGGAGCUUUGAACUCCCAUUCUUCAUUGCAAUGACUUGCCUUCUCUGAUGGCGAUUUGAACUUGGACACCCACUCUACACAUCUUGUGAAUUUUUCUUGUCUUAGGGUUUGUUCUCCUUCUUAUCAAGGUAAGUUAUUGAUCAUUUUUUCUUGGAGUUUAACUUUUAUCAUUGUAGAAUUUUCUUUGAAAAUCAAAUUAGGAACAUACAAUUUGGAAAUUUUCAAUUAUUGAAGGAAAAAUGUAUCCAUUUUCCUUUUAUUUUAAGGUAUAAUGCUAAAUUUUAUGAAUGUGGUAAAUACACGACCCUUUGCCUAACGUGACUCUUAUUUUUUUCUCUUCUCUGUUUUUAGUGUUUUUCAUCCAUUUUCUAUUUUUUUGUUUAUAUUUUCUUUUGGAUAUGCGAUUCAUUACUAUUUUUUGGUUGAAGUUUGACUUUUUUUUGAACAAUUUUAAGCUCUUUAGGUAGUUUUAUGAUAUUUGGAUAACUUUUUUUAGAAAAUAGUUGGAUGUCUUUUGUUGUGGAAUGAAAUAGUUUAUCAUUUGUCCUACUGUUCAUGUUAUUUAUUAUGUGAAUUUUAGGCCAAUUUGGCUUCUGUAUGAUUGUUAUAUUGUACAAAUUGUAGAAUUUGGUAUGCUGAAUAUCUUCUAUAAAAUACAGAUGCAUUCAUGCUUAAUAAGGAUAUGUUUGACAUAUAAUGUUUUUGCUUUUCAACUCUACCAUUAUUAGAUUUUGAUAAAGUUAUAUGAGUUACCUAUUUUAGUGUAUCUGAUUGAUUAUAGAUUGAAAGAAUUGUUAGAAUCACUUGUAAAACAUUGAGAUGUCGUUGCUGAAAUGUCAUACAUAUAGAUGAUUGUGAAAUUAUAUGCUUACUGAUCAUAGUUCUUGCUCCCUAGCUUAUUAAAAUAUUAAGUUGUUUAUUGAACAUUAAAUCUUCUAAUUGAGUGUCAUUUUAUAUCUUUUGAUAACACUUCUUCUCAUAUUAUAUUUAUCUGAUCCCAAGUGAUGUUAGUGGUAAAAACUAUUUUUUAAGAACAAUUGAAUUUUACAUUCAAAAAGCACCUUGAAAAUCUGGUUUUGGAGUUUCAUUAUCAUUAUAACUUGACAUGCCAUGGCUGGUCGAUAUUGAUCACACCAAUCUAACGACAAAAUAUUGAUUGCAUGCUGUUAUAGGACCCUUUAAAGUUGCAAAUAAAAUGAAAAAAGUAAUACAGAUCAAACCAAGUCUCUGCCUUCAUGAACUCUUUGAACAUCACACAAUCAACUUAACUCAUGAAAAACUUGGCGUAUUCUCAGAUUUGUCUAUUUAAAUUAGCUUGGCAGCAGGUAUUACUCGCUUCUAGCAUUGGUACCGAUAGUUGCAUUUGCAUUUUCUGCAUUAGAAUUCUCUGCACUCGGAGGUUGUUUCUCACUUUGUUGAGGGGAUUGACAUGAUGGUAUAUCAGGAGUCGCUGUCUUAGUUUUUGUUAUUAUAGGCCUACAGACAAAUGAACAGGGUUGUCAUAUUUCUGAAGAGCAUCAUGACGCUGACACUAGGUAUCGGAUUUUCUUUGAGAAAAAAAUUGUGAGGUGAUGAUUUUUCGAAGUCCAUUCAUGCACCUGGUGCAGGCCCCUUCCAUGAUAAUGAAAUUGGGAAAGGGAACCUUUUAUUGACCUAUAAUUCCUGCACUUUAAAGGUAAGACUGAGAAUAGCGCAUUGCAGUGCACAUUCUUUGGCCAAACAGUCACUUGCAUUCAUGGUACGGUUCUGUUCCUUGCCGAAAAACAUUGUCAAAAUCCUCAUAAUUGUAGGCCACUCAACAACCUCAACUGCAGGAAUUUCCUCAGUAGUAAGCCUAGCUUCAACAAGAAAUUUCUCCGGAGACUCUCCAAGAUAGGGAUGCUGAUUGUAACAACUAAUUUAAUCUUAUAAAAGAAAUAUUUUUGACAUGAAAAUAAGAUAAUUUUAAUUAUUUGACAAUACAAUUUAGUGUUGAGUUACAAAGUUAACAUACAACUAAGUAAAAUAAUAGUCCUUGUGCAACUUUUUGGGAUAAAAUAGGAGAUGCAGUUAACUCUCAUAACAUGUUCAAUAAGACUGUCUAUAACUUCAGAAAUCAUGGAUAAUUUAUUGUUAUCAGGUGGCGUUGGACAGUGAUACUGUGCAAGUUUAUCAUAAGCACUUAUGGUUACUUAAUGAGGAUAUGGUUAUAGCUUUUAAAACUUGAUCCUUUGGUCUUCUUAAUUCCACAAUCAAACAUAUUUUAUGCUAUGAGUGCUUGAUUCGUGAACUAUAAUUUUCAUGGUUACUACUUAUUUACCACAAUACUCCUGGAUUGGAUAAGUAUGUUAGUUUACCAUACAAAUGUUUAAGCUUUUAUUAUUUACCAUCAAGGCAUUUGAUUUUAUUGGUCAUGCUAAACAUAAUAGGAUAAUGGAUAAAAAUAUCAUCUACAAGUUUGAAGGAACCAGAUAAGAAUUAGACCAUUUGUCCUUUGGCUUCCUUAGCUUUCGCAGAAGCUUAGGAGUUGUUUUAUGUGAGGUAUACGAUAUAACAAUCUCGGGAUGAAAUAUAGAAUUAUUUUAUCCUACGUUUGAUUGGAGGUAUUAGGUAUUCUUUGGUUAUUUAUUCCACUAUUUAUACUACUGAUAAGUUAUCUCACAUACAUGGGGGAAUAACAAUAAGAGGAUAACUAACUUCCAACCAAAUGAUCCUUAGUGUACACCUUAAUGCAAACCCUAUCAUACGGUUGGAACUAUAAUUUCUUGCGAAUAUGUUAUCUUUAUAUAAUAUAUUUAAUAUGUUAUAAUUGUUCUAUGAUAACUAGUGUGAUGGAAAGUUAUGUUCUUAUUAAGUUCAUUUACUCAAGAUCAAGCAUACUGUUGUUAGCAUUUGAAGUGUCAUGUGUGCAGUAGGUGCAUUGGUUUUUUAAAAUAUCAAUUUGAAGUUUGAAAUUGCUAGAAAAGUGUCUACUUUCUAAUCUUCUACACAGAAUUAUAAAGUAAGUUUUCAAAAGGAAGAGGGAAAUUGUAUAAUUUUUUUUUAUAAUGUGAUGUACAUGAAGUAGAGUGACUCUUCUUAUCUUUCAAACUGAAUAUUGUCAAAUAAAGAUAUUUGUUAGAUCACCAGGUAGAAGUAGUUACAGUGAUUGCACCACUUACAUGCUCCUUUCUUCUUUAAUUAGUAGAGAAUAGUUACUUUAAAAUACAUGCUGCAAAUUCAUAAUGAUUUAAUUUUAGCACGUGUAUUUUUCUUUACUUUGCACAUUAACAGUUUCUCUGCAGAGUUUCUCUUAGUCAUACAUUUGAUGGUCAAAGAUGACUGCACAAUUCUUUUUAUAUCGGCAAGUAAUGCAUCCUGCAGUGUGCCACCUCUUUCAAACAUGAUCAACUGGAUUUCCACACCUGUUGUUCAAAUAUUCAAAACUUGUCUCCUGUUUUUACAGCUUGAGGGCCCAACAAUCUUCUAGCUUGACAUUACCAAAGAGCAACUAAAUCACCACAAAUAACUCUUUACAUUCAUGAAAAUACAAAAUAUUUUGAAGCAAGGCGUCAUCUUUGGUACUCCAUUGAUUUCGUAAGCUUUUAGUGAAUUCCUACCCCCCUCCUUUGACAAUUCUUUUCUCAAGUUCUUUAUUUUUAAAUUAUCUUUGUCUGCACAUUGAUCUGUGUUUUAUGGUAUUGUAGUAAACUUUUAUUUUAAUUUGUCAUUUGUUCCCCCCUUGAUUCUCAUAUCUACACCUAAUAUUUGAAAUUGUUAAAUUAAAUUAAAGGGUGUGGCUAAAUUUAUGAAAAUAUCUCAAGAAAACAUAUCGUACUUAUAUACUCUAGUAUUUAUUUGUUUUAAAAAAUAAAAGUAGGUAAGUAUGUUAUAUAUUCAAAAGUGGAACAACUUAGCACUAUGGCGGUGCUAAGGCAGUAAAUAAGUUAAAACCUUUUGUACGUAAACGAAAAGAAGGUUUCCUACGGUGGAAGUCCUAUCUUUGUAGAGUAACUAUGAAAUCUACUAUGUUAUUUUCGUCCUUUACAUCUUGUAUAUUACAUCAAAAUUAAAAACUUAUAGAAAAUUAUAUUUAAGUUGUUGUACAGUACUCAUCUUCCGUUCAAAACAUCACAUUUUUGCCUUCUAUAAAAUCCAACAUUUGCUGGCAUGGACUGUGAUGCAAUACUUGGCACUCUAUGUUUUUUUUUUCAAAAUUUUUUUGUACUUUAUUAGCUUUCUUUCUACUUAGUUUUGAUUUCCACCUAUCUUUUGGUUCUAUGUUCUCUAUCUUUUGAAAUACUUCCAUUAUGUCUCAGAUCUUUUUCUACUAAAUUAUAUGGAUGACUCCUGUUUUGUUUGUGGUUAAUCUUGAUUUUGUUGAAGAGAAAAGGAGAUAAACAUAGUAGAAAAAAUGUAUUAGAACUUUUCUUCUCAAGUUGACACAAAUUUGUUAUUUUGACAGAUAAAAUUUUUAUAUUUGAAGCACCAGCCUUCAUCUGAUUAGAGUGAAGUAGAAGUAUGAACAACUGAAAAUGAACGAACUAGUUGAAGCACAAAGUCUAUGAGAACAAAGUCUAGCACCAAGUGAAUAUGUUAUGGGUUGUAUCUCUACUUAAGAAGGAGAGUAGAGUACACUGUAUAUGUGAUUGAUAAGGAGACUAGAGUGCAUAAAAGACCUUGAUAUUCCUUAACCAUGUCCCUACAUGGGAUGUGUCCUAGUACUAUCCUUGGCAAGUAGAACACCCUCCAACGGAGUAGGGUAGACUUCGAAUUCCAUGCCUAGCUAGUAUGGUCUAUGUCGGUUAUUGCCUAUUCUAAUCAUGUGGGAUACAUACUAGUGUUGGAUAAGUACUAUGAAGUUUAGGUAGUGGAAUGAGACGCUAUCUAGACAUUGCAUGAUUAGGCUUUGAAGAUGUUAGUGUGCGAGUGCGCUAGGUCUUUUUUAAAACCAUUAUGUGAAUGUCCAUACGUAAUGAAUGUUUUCUAAAUGACUUUAGUAAAGAAAUUUUAUUUAAAAAGUAGUUAUCUAGAGUAUCUUUGAGGAUUGCUUAGGUAGGCUUGAAAAAGGUGUAUGAGCGGUCUCUUCAUGUCUUACUUAGGUGAGUCUUACAGUAACUAUAGGAAGGGAGUUUAACAAAUAAAGUGAUAAUGGUCUUAUCUUAGUAGUCUUAAUGAUCAUUUAGGUUUCUUAGAGAGGGUGUAUGGGAGGUCUCUCUUCGUAUCACUUAAGCGAGUCUUUGGAUAACCUUUGGUGAAAGGGUAGCAAGUUAAAAGAGGUGACUGUGAAGUUGAACUUAGUUCACUGUAAAGUGACAUAGUUCACUAUAACAUUCUCCAAUAUUUGAUAAAAUGCAUAUCUUAUAUGUUUCUAUGGUGUUUAAUGUUGUUCUUAUGCUUAUACUAUGAUAUUUUAAUAAAAAAGACCAUGUUUUAUACAAAAGUCUGUUUGUCAUGAUUUAUACAUUAUGCCAUACUUACUAAAAGUGUUUGUACUAAUUCCAUACAUUUUUUCUAUCUCUAAAGGUAUAGGUCGCGUUUGAGAAGUCUCGAAGUGGAAGCUUGGAUUAGUGAUUCAUUCAAGUAAAGAGUUGGUAUGUCGUCACUAGAUUUGAGGACGUCUUGAUGUUUAGAUUUCCUUAUUGAAAGUAUUGUAAUAGACUUAGCUAUAUUCUAUGUGAUGAAUUAUGGUCCGUGUCCUAAUUUAUUCGUAUGUCUAAGAUGACGACUUUGAGACUUAGACUUCCAUUAUGUUUUUCUAUAAAAGAGAUAUUUUAAAGUAUUAUUAUUUCAUGU
rnacentral:lncRNA from 1 species